CCGCUCUUGCUGGUGGCUCCCCGUGGCUCCCGUGGCUCCCGUUUCUCCCAGGGUGAGCCGACAAGAGACCCCUCCUCAGCACCCCGGCACAGCCCUGCUACGCUUGGUGGGCCCAGAUACCUCAGCAGGGGUGAAGAUCGUGGUGAGCCACCCUGCUAUUCAGCCCUCCCGGAACCCAGCCGCCCCUACUCUGGAUCAUGCCGUCAGCCUUUGCGGGAGUGGUCAAGAAUGUGAUCAAAGAGGUGGGCGGCAGCGGAGGAGAGCUCAUCCCAGUGGACUGCCUUCGGAAUUCUACCAGCUUCAAGCCCUACUGCCUCCUGAGCAGGAAACUCUCAAGCUCAUGGUUCUGGAAACCCCGUUAUACAUGUGUCAACCUGUCAAUCAAGGACAUCCUG
rnacentral:lncRNA from 1 species